rnacentral:lncRNA from 1 species
AGAACGUAUCAUAGUACUAUUCAGUCUGAACCAGUUAAAAGUGUGACCUUAACUUAGUUUUUUACCUGCAUAAUCACUAAAUGUUACAUCAGUUUGAUUUGCUUUUUAAACAGUUUUGCACGAAAAGAAAAACUAUCAGUAACACAACUACUACUAAUGAACCUACUCCAUUAAUCUAACAGGAAACUGAAAAGUUCAUAUGGCUCUAAUACAUAGCCAUUUAUACAACUCAUUCUUUUUCAGUCCAAUUAUACAGAUAACAACAACCCUAAAAGGAAAACAAAGCAAAUUAAGUUGUCUACUAUCUACUCUACUGAAACAGUUGGAGUACAUAAAUUUCAUGAGGCCAAUGGAUGAUAUAUUUCAUUGCUACAUUUCAACUUCAAAGCUGUAUCAAUACAAUAUUCAAAUGUGUACCUAGAAAUUGAGUUUUCAACAGAAGAAGGAAGUCAGCAACAGUAAUAUAACAACAAUACAACAUCAGUUCACAGCAGCAAUUUGAAGUUCCAAUAGCCAAAAACCAAUUCAAUCAACCCAUGAAGAAUUUUGAACCAACAAGAACCAAAAAGCUAAACCACAAAACCGACUGACUACAGCCCAGAACCAGUUGUAAAACCAGUAGAGCAAUACUCAACUCCCAAAUAGACCCAACUCAAAACCAACUUCAACCAAGUCAGCAAAGAAACCAAUGGAAUAGUCUCUGUAGUGAGUCUCAACAGUAGGCAAUAACAACAACAACAACAACAACAACAAAAACUACCCAGUAAAGUCCCACAUAGCGGGGUCUGGGGAGGGUAAUGUGUACACAGACCUUACCCCUAACCCGAUAGGUCAAAAAGGCUGUUUCCGAUAGACCAUCGGCUCAAAACAACGGAAAUAAAAGAGAAGGAAAACAAGAAAAGAAAAGAGAAUUCAUUAGUAAUUCCAGUAAAAACCAUUAUAGUAACAUAAGCAUAAAAACAAAAGAGAAACAAAAGACAAAAGAUGAAUGACAUGUCGUAACAGUAACUAGAGACUAAGGCAUCUAAGAUAAACAGUAGGCAAUAACAAUUGCAAAAAAAUAAGCACCAAACUUUUAAGGCGGAAAUGAUAUGUAGCAGACCACAACCAGUUUCAACAGAUCAAUGAUCACAGCAGAACAUAAACCAAACUAGGAAGCUCAAUAGAAUAGUGAUUCUAUGAAAACUCUCGAAAAAUGAUCUCUUUGAACUCCUAAAACAUAGUCAGUUCUUUCUAACUCUCCAAGUUGUUUUUAAACUCUCAAGAAUAGAUCACUCUCAAAAGUUCUCUAACACUGAUUAAAGACUGACCUUAAGUUCUAGGAAACUUAGUCUGUUAUCUCAUAAGGUCUGAAAAAAGGAUCCCCAAAACUGUCCAGGUCUGCCUCUAUUUAUGACCAAAACAAGCCCCUUCAUAACCUCUUGGGACACUUAAAUAAUGCAGGGAAAAUGAACUCCCAUUACUGAAUGUUUCCUUGUUUAGUCCAAGGGUUAUGGGUGACUUUCCUUUUUAAUUACUUCCAUUAGACCUCUCCAUCCUAUUUUUUUCCCCACUAUUAAGUGUCUAACCUAUUAUUAAACUCAAUUAAAAAAAAAAAAAAAAACUUUUUUUUUUUUUAAGUAUGGGCAGCCUGCUGUUUGAUCAAUCCUACAUGCUAUUUCUGACUUGAUCCCACCCAUUAAUAUUUAAACAAUUAGUUUAAUGGCACCUUAAUACUCACUGAUACAACACUAAGUCAUUUUCAGGUUUCAAGUCCAAAUUACCCCCUGAAUUCAUCCUAGAAGUCCCACUUCCCUGAACUGGACCUAACCUCUUAACAGGUUUAAACAAACAAACCUGUUUCAACAACAAUCAAACAUCAAAAUCAAUUAAUUACUGAGAUAAAUGAACUGAAGCCAGUGAGAUGAAACAUACAUUUAACUGAACUUGAAACCAAAAGAAAAACCGAGCAAAAGAACUUAAAAGAUUGACAAACGAUAUUCAAAAUGACCAAUUAAUUCAAUUCAAUGUGAUGACCGACUAAACAAUUCAACUCAUUGCAAUGAACUAAUCUCUAAGCUUAAACAUAUCAAACGCUUAGUUCAACACAGAAAAUAGAACAGAAACGAAGCAGGAGGAGAAACAUACUGGAAUUCAAACGAAAAAAUAAAAAGACAAAAGAAAAGAACAUGGGAAUUGAAAAUACCCGCAGGCGGACCCAACUACGAACUGCCUCCUCGUCCCUUUAAGUUGGUCUGAAACAGACUUUAAUCGUGUGUUUUCAAUGUGAAAUCACACGACUAAAGCCCAAUUCGGCCUAAAGAUCUUCAUAUGCCUGUUGAGUUUCGGAUAAACAAAAGUUAGGGCUCAAUUUCUAUGAUUUAAUAUUCCAGACUCUACGCCCACAUUCGAGGGAAACCAGGUGUGGAUUUGGGGUGAGGGACUCAAGGCAGUUUAGGGGUGUAAGUUUGGGGUCAAACGGACAACCUAGGGUUCGAGGUCGAUUCCUUUUAUCGACGAUUCGAAGGGUCCUAUGCGGAUUUGAAGGAAACUGAACGUGGAUUUGGGGUGAGGGGGUCAAGGUGGUUUGGGGGUGUUAAUUGGGUGGCUAUCUAAGAUGGGGCCAUCGGGUUUUGGCUGUGGGAUAUGGUGGCGGCUAGGGUUUUGGUGUUUGGUCCAUUGAGGGAGACGAAAAGAACACNNNN